UACAGAGGUCCCGAGCGUUGUUCGGAUUCACUGGGCGUAAAGGGCGCGCAGGUGGGUUGGCAAGUUUGACGUGAAAGCCCCGGGCUUAACCCGGGAAUGGCGUUGAAAACUGCUGAUCUGGAGGAUCGGAGGGGGGACUGGAAUUCUUGGUGUAGCAGUGAAAUGCGUAGAUAUCAAGAGGAACACCAGUGGCGAAGGCGAGUCCCUGGACGAUACCUGACACUGAGGCACGAAAGCCAAGGGAGCAAACAGG
rnacentral:rRNA from 1 species